rnacentral:rRNA from 1 species
UACGAAGGGGGCUAGCGUUGUUCGGAAUUACUGGGCGUAGAGCGUAUGUAGGCGGAUCGUUAAGUCGGGGGUGAAAUCCCGAGGCUCAACCUCGGAACUGCCUUCGAUACUGGCGAUCUUCGAGUCCGGGAGAGGUGAGUGGAACUCCGAGUGUAGAGGUGAAAUUCGUAGAUAUUCGGAAGAACACCAGUGGCGAAGGCGGCUCACUGGCCCGGUACUGACGCUGAAAUACGAAAGCGUGGGGAGCAAACAGG